UAAUACGUAGGCAGCAAACGUUGUUCGGAAUUACUGGGCGUAAAGAGUGUGUAGGCGGUUUCGUAAGUUUGGUGUGAAAUCUCCCGGCUUAACUGGGAGGGUGCGCCGAAAACUGCGAGGCUUGAGUACUGGAGAGGAGAGCGGAAUUCCUGGUGUAGCGGUGAAAUGCGUAGAUAUCAGGAGGAACACCGGUGGUGUAGACGGCUCUCUGGACAGUCACUGACGCUGAGACACGAAAGCGUGGGGAGCAAACAGGAUUAGAUACCCUGGUAGUCCACGCCCUAAACGAUGCAUACUUGGUGUGAGCCAUUCAUUUGGUUCGUGCCGGAGCUAACGCGUUAAGUAUGCCGCCUGGGGAGUACGGUCGCAAGGCU
rnacentral:rRNA from 1 species